GACGAACGCUGGCGGCGUGCUUAACACAUGCAAGUCGAACGAUGAACCCGGAGCUUGCUCCGGUGGAUUAGUGGCGAACGGGUGAGUAACACGUGAGUAACCUGCCCUUGACUCUGGGAUAACUGCGGGAAACUGUAGCUAAUACCGGAUACGACCCUCGGCGGCAUCGCCAAGGGGUGGAAAGAAUUUCGGUCAAGGAUGGACUCGCGGCCUAUCAGCUAGUUGGUGAGGUAACGGCUCACCAAGGCGACGACGGGUAGCCGGCCUGGGAGGGGGACCGGCCACGCGGGUGCUGAGACACGGCCCAGACUCCUACGGGAGGCAGCAGUGGGGAAUAGUGCACAAUGUGGGCAGGCCUGAUGCAGCAACGCCGCGUGAGGGAUGACAGCCUUCGGGUUGUAAACCUCUUUUAGUAGGGAAGAAGCGAAAGUGACGGUACCUGCAGAAAAAGCACCGGCUAACUACGUGCCAGCAGCCGCAGUAA
rnacentral:rRNA from 1 species